rnacentral:rRNA from 1 species
AGAUGGGCCCGCGGCGCAUUAGCUAGUUGGUGGGGUAAUGGCCUACCAAGGCAACGAUGCGUAGCCGACCUGAGAGGGUGAUCGGCCACACUGGAACUGAGACACGGUCCAGACUCCUACGGGAGGCAGCAGUGGGGAAUAUUGCACAAUGGAGGAAACUCUGAUGCAGCGACGCCGCGUGAAUGACGAAGGCCUUCGGGUCGUAAAAUUCUGUCCUUGGGGACGAUAAUGACGGUACCCAUGUUUUUAAGYCCCGGCUAACUACGUGCCAGCAGCCGCGGUAAUACGUAGGGGGCGAGCGUUGUCCGGAAUUAUUGGGCGUAAAGGGUUCGCAGGCGGUCUUUUAAGUCAGAUGUUAAAUGCAUAGGCUCAACCUAUGAGUGCAUUUGAAACUGGAAGACUUGAGUUAAGGAGAGGAAAGUGGAAUUCCUAGUGUAGCGGUGAAAUGCGUAGAUAUUAGGAGGAAUACCAGUGGCGAAGGCGACUUUCUGGACUUUUUCUGACGCUGAGGAACGAAAGCAUGGGGAGCAACAGGAUUAGAUACCCUGGUAGUCCAUGCCGUAACGAUGAGUGCUAGGUGUUGGGGUCAAACCUCGGUGCCGCAGCUAACGCAUUAAGCACUCGCCUGGGGAGUACGUACGCAGUAUGAACUCAA